GUAACCCUUAGUGAUACUUAUUCACUGCACCACACCUUCCUCCAGGUGCCUCUGCCCUUGGAGUGCAUGUGUGAACCAAUUCAAUCAUAAGGGGGAAUCCAAGCCUUUACAAUGCCGUAGGACCUGAGAUGUCCAGCCCAAGAGUGCCAGAUGCACACCCCCUCAGGCCCCUCCUCAGGCCCCUCUUCAGGCAUGUGUGCCAUGCUUCAGAACAUGCCCGAGGCAGCACUUGGUGGGAUUAUUCUGGAAACUCGGCCCCUGGGAUUGUGUUACCAAAAUGAGACGGUCAAAUGCAGUGAAAUGGCCUGAGUGACAAGGGCUGCUGUUAGUCUACCCCUGAUGUUUCCUUACUGAUAUGUUAUUCAUUGUUGAUGUUUGUAACUCUUGUCACAAUUAAUGGUGGAAUAAUCAUUUCCUAUCCUGUAGUCAUAUUCAGAGAAUUGAUCACAGUCUUCAAGCGGUCCAUGUGUUUUUACACAGUCCUGGCUCUGUAAAUGGGAAAGAAAUAUGGUGGCUCAGACCAUGCCUUAAGAGCCAUGAACAAUCUCAACCAAUCAACACACAUGCCUCAAGAGCACGCAAG